UAGCAGAGUGUGGUGGCGCAUGCCUGUAAUCCCAGCUACUCAGGAGGGUGAGGCGGGAGAGUCCCUUGAACCCGGAAAGUGGAGGUUGCAGUGAGCCGAGAUCACACCACUGCACUCCAGCCUCGGAGACAGAGUGAGACUCCGUCUCAAAAAAGAAAAA